rnacentral:rRNA from 1 species
GAUGAACGCUGGCGGCGUGCCUAAUACAUGCAAGUCGAGCGAACGGACGAGAAGCUUGCUUCUCUGAUGUUAGCGGCGGACGGGUGAGUAACACGUGGAUAACCUACCUAUAAGACUGGGAUAACUUCGGGAAACCGGAGCUAAUACCGGAUAAUAUUUUGAACCGCAUGGUUCAAAAGUGAAAGACGGUCUUGCUGUCACUUAUAGAUGGAUCCGCGCUGCAUUAGCUAGUUGGUAAGGUAACGGCUUACCAAGGCAACGAUGCAUAGCCGACCUGAGAGGGGGAUCGGCCACACGGGAACUGAGACACGGUCCAGACUCCUACGGGAGGCAGCAGUAGGGAAUCUUCCGCAAUGGGCGAGAGCCUGACGGAGCAGCGCCGCGUGAGUGAUGAAGGUCUUCCGAUCGUAAAACUCUGUUAUUAGGGAAGAACAUAUGUGUAAGUAACUGUGCACAUCUUGACGGUACCUAAUCAGAAAGCCACGGCUAACUACGUG